rnacentral:lncRNA from 1 species
GUGAAAAAAAUUCUUUUUUAAAAACAAAUCUAGCUUUUUAAAUAGAAAACAAAAAGGUGAAUUACUAUUGUUUAUCUUCUAAUGUAUCCCUCAGUACUUCUAACCAGGUCGUUUAUUAUGGUGGCAAAUCUGGAUUGUUUAUAUGUCCCUUUUUCAUCCUGAUUUGUCCUCUUUUUUAUCUUAUACUUUCAUUGCCCCUUUUUCCAAUAACUAGAAAAUCCUGGAGAGGAAAUGUUCCAUUUCCCUUGUUUGUAGCCCUCUUUCAUGGAUAUUAUUGAUUGACAGGAACUUUUGUAGAAGAGACUUGCACUAGGAGAGUACAAACUAAACUUGGAGUUGAUUCUGUGGCUAAUUAACUUUU